rnacentral:rRNA from 1 species
UACAGAGGGGGCAAGCGUUGUUCGGAAUUACUGGGCGUAAAGGGCGCGUAGGCGGCCUGCUAAGUCGAACGUGAAAUCCCCUGGGCUCAACCCAGGAACUGCGUCCGAUACUGGUUGGCUUGAAUCCGGGAGAGGGACGUGGAAUUCCAGGUGUAGCGGUGAAAUGCGUAGAUAUCUGGAGGAACACCGGUGGCGAAGGCGACGUCCUGGACCGGCAUUGACGCUGAGGCGCGAAAGCCAGGGGAGCAAACGGG